rnacentral:tRNA from 1 species
CGGGGUGUGGCGCAGUUUGGUUAGCGCGCUCGGCUGGGGGCCGAGAGGCUCGCAGGUUCAAAUCCUGUCACCCCGA